rnacentral:lncRNA from 1 species
CUCAUAUAUUUCAGUGAUGGAAGGAAACCUGUCAAAUCCCUCUUUUACAGUUGAGGAAAUUGAAGAGAAAAGAAACUGCUAAAGAAUUCAAUGGAAGACUGUUAUUGCCCCGUGGGUCUGGUGCAGGCCACCUCAAGUUGUAAAUCUGUGGACUGGAAAGCAAAGAAAAGGCCAAAUGAGCAAGUGUGUACAACCCACUGGGAGGCCUUCCCUUCACUGCUGUUCCUUCAAAGCCACCCAGAAGUGGGGCUGUAGAACUGUCAAUAUCUACAUUCAGAUGUGGAGUGGGGGUUAUGAGUUGAGGUCCAGGGCCAGAAUAGAGAAGCAAUUUCAAUCCUAU